GAACCAUCCACUGGCAAAGUCAGAGGACGGAUCCGUGGUAGGCGUGCCUGAACCUUUGUGGAUAUGGGCACGUUAAACGAGUUUCCAUUCCAUUCCAUUGGAUAUAUCAGUUUGUAAUUUCCAUACGAGUAAGUCUUCCAUACGAGUUCCCAUGUGGAUUUCCAUACGAGUUCACCGCAAGCCUUCAAUUUACAUUAAAAAAGUCAUUAAAAAGAUGUUUAAAUUUUUUUUUUUUGUAUGCUAUAUAUGGCAUUUUUGUUAUUAAAAUGUUUUUAAAUAAUGCGUGUUUUGUGGGGUUUUUAAAAAGAUUUUGUGAGAAUAUACUCAUUUUGGGUACAAACUAAGAGUUCCUCUUAGAAAAUCACAUACAGAUGUAAUCAUUGAGCGAGUCUGUUGUUUGUUUAAUUAGCAGCUCAGAGAAACUGAGUGUACAAGAGUAUUAUCUGCUUAAUUAGCAGUUUAAAGAAUCUGAAGGGAUAUUUACUCCUGGUACAAUAUAGCCUUGCAGGGGAUUGUCUGCUUAAUUAGCAGGUCAUCCUUAGCAUGAGUAGCCAAUGUGAUUACUUGAAUUUGGGCCUUUUCUUGAUCUCGAAUAGAAUCGGUAUUAAACAAAUAUAUCUUUGUAGUAUAAUGAGUAAUUACUGUAAAACAAGAAACUUAUAAAUGCUGUGGAUCUUGGGCAAAUAUAUCACUCUGAAUUUCCCCUUCCUUCCCCAGAAUUGGUCACUGGCCAAGUCCGGGGUGGGCGUGCCUGAACCUCUGUGGAUAUGGGCACGUAAAUAGAGUUCCCAUCCCAUCCAUCCACUCUGAAUUCUGCGAAUGACUCUAUAUAAUAUGGAAGCUCAAUGUGUAUCCUGUUCGAGUCUUGUUCGACCAAGACAAGAAGCGCUACAAUGCGAUGCAUUUGACAAGUGGCAACACCGAAUAUGUGGAACCGGUAUCGAGAGAAACGUCUACCGGCAAUUGGUACAGGGCCUCAUUGAGUUGGAUUUCAUGUGUCAGGUGUGCACUGCCUCUCCCGUGGCCGAAAGUACUCAGACUUCUUUGAACCCCACAGAGCCUGCCGACAAUGUGGAAGAAAUGUCUACGGCAGACAAUGAGCGCCAACGCCAGAACGCCACAGAGCCUGCCGUACAUGUCACCGAAAUUUCUGUUGGGAAUUUUAAUAUUGAAGAAAUACACUGAGAAUCAGGAUGCGCUGCUAGCAUCGUUUGAUGUUCCGCACAGGAAUACAGAAGAUCAUUCAGAACCUGUUGACAUGUGAACAGAGAGUUUUUACAGUGUGAUGACUUUCUCAUUAGUGAUUUGAACGUUGGCCAGGAGCGUCAUUUUCUGUUUUCAACUCCUUUUCAACUGAGCAUAUUGCAGCAAGCUAAACGCUGGUUUAUGGAUGGAACCUUUACGGUUGUUGGUGAACCGUUCAGUGCCUCGGGACAAUUGAUGUCCAUCCAUGCUUUCGUCAAGAAGGAUGGGAUGCGAAAGCAAUUCUCCUUGGCAUUUGCGAUAAUGUCAAGGAAACGAAAAGAGGACUAUGUUCAGAUACUACAAGCACUAAAAGAUACAUUACAGCAUUAUGUUGUGGAAGUAGUAGUGUUGGAUUUUGAGAAAGGUGCCUGGCAGGCAAUUCGGGUUGUGUUCCCUGAUGUUGAGGUGAAGGGAUGCGUGUUUCAUUGGUCCCAGGCCAUUUGGAGAAAGGUUCAAGACCUAGGGCUGGUUACAACAUACAAAAAGAGGCAGGCUAUGUACACCUACAUCCAGCAACUGAUGGCUCUGCCUUUUUUACCAGCUGUCCAUAUCGUGGAGACCUUUGACGAGCUGAAAGGACGGGCACAGCACAACUGACAGAAUUGACAACCUACAUGGAGAGGCAGUGGGUGAGGAACACAGUGCUUGAUAUGCCAUACUGGUGUGUUUUUAGACACCAUACGGACAAACAACGAUGUAGAAGGAUGGCACAACAGACUGAACAAAAAAGCUGUUCAUGCUGGCCUAGGGUUUUACCAACUGGUGAUUUUGCUGGUAAAGGAGGCAAGAGUUGUGGAACUGAACGUGAGUGCGGAUGACCUGGAGAGAGACAGAAGUAGCCAGUUUUCCUGCGUUGAACUGGGACUUCAUGAGGCCUGGGAGAAAUAUAUGAAUAAAGAAAUGUCGACGUCCACAUUUCUGAAGAGGUGUGCCGGUCUUUACGGACCACCAGAUAGAGAACAGAACAGAAGAGAAGACAGUGAAUAAAUUUGUGAAGGAUUUAUUCAGAUACAUGAUGCACUGGAUUAAAAAAAAUUUCAGUAGUACUAGUAACACAUUGUGGCGGUGAAACAAAUAUUUAAAAAUAUAACACAAAUGCUUAGGUGACACCAGUGUAUGUGUGCUUAUGUUAGCAAAAACAUAUGUAUACAUCAAAUAAACAGAUUUGUGUAAUGUUUUUAAUUCUGUUAUUUAAAAUCUUGUUUUUAAGGCAACAAUACUUUUAUAUUGUCCUUAUUUAAUUCAUUUAAAUGGAGAGAGAGAGAGAGAGAGA